GGUAAGAAAAGCAAAAACAAAAACAAAAGGGAAAGCAUAGUUAUCUUCACCGCCGUUCACUCAUUUUAGACUACACCAUUUCUGAUUAUCACUUAUCUCGCACUGCACCUCUCUACCUCACUUUCUCUAUGUCGCUAUUUCAGUCUUUGAAUUCAUCACAACCAAAUAAUGCUAAGACACUUAAUUACUUAGAGUGAAGUGAAGCUUGGAGUUAGCCAUCUCAGGAAGGUAAGGAAUUCCUAACAGUGUUUAAUCUCGUAAACCCCAGAGUAGUUGAUGAAUCUAUUUGGUUGAAUUUUAAGUUCAAUAACAGAAUCGAUAUGAAAUCCUUUUAGGAAUUUAGAGAAAACCAAAAACACUCGUAGAUCUAUGGGGUUGUUUAUGCAGAACAUUUGAUUCGCCUCCACUUUGCUUUUUUUUUUUUUUUGUGUGGUUCUAAUUGUCGUCCUUGAUGCCUGUUGUUUGAACUUAUUUUCAUCCCAAUUAAACUACCGAAAUAAGUUUGUGAUUAAUUUUUUGUUUGUUAGUAAGGUACUGUAAAUCUAAGAUCAGUGGAUAUAAACUACCGGAUAGAGACACAAUUAGUGUACAUACCUGUGUGUUUCGAAUGUUGCUUCCUUUUUUUUGCCAAUAACAGUAGAAUUCUAUAACUGCUUCAUCAGCUCUGUACUGUGUUAUCCUCUGCUUGAGUUAUAUUAAUUAUUUCUAUAUUUUGAUUAGUGUGCUAUUCUGUUGUUUUUAAACAUGCAUCUCUUACUGCAUCUUAAUGAUUUUACUGGAUCGUUAAUCUUAUGAUUUAUUUUAUUCGUUAUUAAUUGUUUUAAUGAUUUGAAUAGAGAUGUAAAACUAACAAAAUUUUAAGAAAGGUGCAAAUGAUGAUCACACAAUCUAAUGCACAGUUUAAACCAAUUAACAGAAGUAUUUGGUUUUACAGGACUAAAUCAUUUGAUAUAUAAUCUUAAGUGACUGAUACAUAGUGGUUUUUAUAAGUGCUGAACCUGUAUUUUUUAAGGCUAUUGUGAAAAAUGUGGAGAUUCCAGGCCAGACUAUCUGAGGUAUGUUAGACCCCAAUACAAUUAUACAGUUGUAGUCACUUACAUAGUCAUCAUAUCAAAGUAUCCAACUUGAACACUUGCAAAAUGUUUUUAUAUUUUUUUUCAGGUGAAUAUUAUAUUUAAUGGUAUAGAAUACAACUUAAUCAAAACUACAUCAAAGUCUGUCAGGUAUCAAGAGCUGAAAUCAUCAAUGGCACUUCCAUAGCUCAUACUGCUCAUGGAAACAAUACUGCGCAUUGGUGUUUGGCCGUCUUUAAAACUACAUAGAGAGUAUAUACAACAGGGAGCAGAAAACAUUUUAUAAUCUUACAAGGUGUCUUCAAGUAGAAAAUUGAUCAGCCUAGUAUUCCUGCCAAAUAUGACCUUCUCUUGUUGAACAUCAUAGUAACGUACCAGCCUAAGUUUGAUGGCACUUGUGGUGUUCCUGGUAGCAAUGUCACGACCAAGAAUGUAUAGGGGAGCCAUUGGUAUGACAAAGGUUAUGCUAGGGCUUUGUUUUGAAGUUAUCUGAUAGGGUUUUAAAGAGUGAAGAUGGCAGAUAUAUAUACACCAGAUUAUACCAAUUCAAAAAAUCAAAAAACAAUUGAACAGACUUUGGUUAGCCCAAAAGACGCAUCGUGGACAGUCGAUCUCCAUGUUUAUUAUUUUUGGGAAAUAUAAUCUGUGAUGAUGGUGUUUAA